rnacentral:tRNA from 1 species
GGCCCGUUGGUCAAGCGGUUAAGACACCGCCCUUUCACGGCGGUAUCACGGGUUCGAAUCCCUCCUUCUCCG